rnacentral:rRNA from 1 species
AUUGAACGCUGGCGGCAGGCUUAACACAUGCAAGUCGAGCGGGGUGAUGGUGCUUGCACUAUCACCUAGCGGCGGACGGGUGAGUAAUGCUUAGGAAUCUGCCUAUUAGUGGGGGACAACAUUUCGAAAGGAAUGCUAAUACCGCAUACGUCCUACGGGAGAAAGCAGGGGAUCUUCGGACCUUGCGCUAAUAGAUGAGCCUAAGUCGGAUUAGACUAGUUGGUGGGGUAAAGGCCUACCAAGGCGACGAUCUGUAGCGGGUCUGAGAGGAUGCUCCGCCACACUGGGACAGAGACACGGCCCAGACUCCUACGGGAGGCAGCAGUGGGGAAUAUUGGACAAUGGGCGCAAGCCUGAUCCAGCCAUGCCGCGUGUGUGAAGAAGGCCUUAUGGUUGUAAAGCACUUUAAGCGAGGAGGAGGCUACUUUAGAUAAUACCUAGAGAUAGUGGACGUUACUCGCAGAAUAAGCACCGGCUAACUCUGUGCCAGCCGCCGCAGUAACAC